CCUAACACAUGCAAGUCGAACGAGAAAGUGGAGCAAUCCAUGAGUAAAGUGGCGACCGGGUGAGUAACACGUGACCAACCUACCCUCGAGUGGGGAACAACCUCGGGAAACCGGGGCUAAUACCGCAUAAUGUCUUUGGGGUGCAAUUCCCUGGGGAUCAAAGGAGCAAUUCGCUUGAGGAGGGGGUCGCGGCUGAUUAGCCAGUUGGCGGGGUAAUGGCCCACCAAGGCGAAGAUCGGUAGCCGGCCUGAGAGGGCGCACGGCCACACUGGAACUGAAACACGGUCCAGACUCCUACGGGAGGCAGCAGUGGGGAAUUUUGCGCAAUGGGGGAAACCCUGACGCAGCAACGCCGCGUGGAGGAUGAAGUCCUUUGGGACGUAAACUCCUUUCGACCGG
rnacentral:rRNA from 1 species